CUUCAUUCUUGCAUCCUCGCGACUAAUGACAACCCUGAUCCCAGAUGGGAUAAAGCCUCUCAUUAGCCGCGCGAACCUCUGCAACUGAAGAUCACACUCACCAACAAUACAAUAGUUUGCGUUUAAUUGCUGCCGCUUGCUUGAAAAAAGGGGCCAUAAAGGCCCCUUUCC
rnacentral:sRNA from 1 species